UGACGUGGAAAGAGUAGGUUGUUCCUCCAAAAAGGCCUUCGAUAAAUAAAGAGUUGAGCUUGCCGAUUAUAUACAAAAGAGAAGAUGGUGCAACAAUGCGCAUGCUUGACGGAUGCAGAAAAAAAAGACCAUCGUUUCCAGUGCAUUUACAAACUUUGGAGGUUCUUGUAAUUACGAUUUACAAUGACAAAUACGUACGUAGUGACAUUUUCAAAAGUCUUGUCAAGGUAGUGAAUGUCAAGAAAGCGACUAGAUGCAGUUUGCUUGCAAAAGUGAUGGUGUUGUUACCCAGGCCUUCUAUUGGGUAUAUAAGCAGCAGUUCCUUCGACUGUUGCCGCAAAAGAAGGCCUCUUCUCUCCAGUUCCAGAUGACCUCAACUUAUCUCUCGCAAGCGUUCCUAGGAUACGAAUCUUCCCAAAUUUGGGAAUCUUUUUCUACACCUGACUUGAUGCAGAACUUGGAUUUGGUUGUGAACAAUCUUAAUCGUCAGUUGCUAGAUAACGAGCGAGUGAAAGGUGGUUGUGCCCCAGCUACAAGGAACAUUAGAGUGAUCACAGAAAACAAUGUGUGCUAUGUUGUGUUCAGUUUUGUAGUCGAAAGAGCAAUAUAAAAUGAAGUACUCGCAAUCUCUCAUGAGUUAAAUAAGUGUUAGCUUUCAGUAAACCUCGUGAAACUGAAGUCAAUAAGGUGUUGCUGAACUUUCGGAAAUUCUUUCGACAACCUUGAGCCAUUUUAUGACGACCUGGUGUUACGAAUCAAGAAAAGGAAAUAGUCUCCAAUGACAAUUACUGCUGUUAUUUUGAAGAAAGAUUUUAUUCUAUGAAUAAGUAUCGUCAUUACCGUUGAAUGAUUCAGAUACCUAUGAAGGUUUUCAUCUAAUCGAUUUCGAUAACAAUAGAUUCUGAGACUUUUGUCUCAGACGCAAACCUUUCCCAGAUGUGUAGCAAAGAGUUCUUGGUAACAGAACCUAAGAAUUAUCCAAAGUUUUAUUUUUAACUUUUGUGUUGCUUUCACUAAGAGAAAAGGCAAUUGUUCAAGUCAGAUGUCAGAUAAAAUUAAAAUGAAAGGACAGGGGCAUGGGAAUGAAACUGUGCCCCUGAAGUCUCCUACAUUGGGUAAGAAGAGCCGAACUCAAUGUACUCGUAGUUAUUUUACCACUCCGUUCUAAAGAGAUGCGUUUCAUUUUAGAGUCGCAAAACAAAGGGCUAGCAGGCCAAGUUCCAUGAACAUUUCUUUUGAAAAGGGAAUGCUUACGUACAUAUGAAAAUCAUUUGCUUUUCGAGCGUAUCGUGAGGGGAAAAACGUUUCCCAGAGAAACAUCUUUCCAAAAACACAAAGGAAAACUAGAAGACCAUCGCUUCACGACCUCCAUCCACUCGCAAGGCGACUUUCUCUUGAUGUCCAGAAAUUCAAAACGCUUCACCAGACUUCCUUCUGUCCACUGACGGCCAAGAAGUUCGAAGUUGAAAUCCGAAGAGCAGUGUGUUCUUCCUGAUGGAAAAAGUUAGACCCGUGCAGCAGCCAAUAAGAUUUCUCCGCCUUCAUUAGAAAGCCAUCCGCGCUCACAAGAGCGCCGCUGGGAACAUUGACUUCGAGAGCAGCAACGUUGACUCUUUUUGUCUCAAAUACUGUUUGUUCUUUUGAAAGGAAGGCAAGGCAUCGAACUUUCACGUUAUGUUAUUUGUUGUGUUAUUAAUGAAUACAUUUUCAACAUAAA